AUGGCCGCUGAGGGCCGAAGUGCCUUAUGCGGUUUCGUAAACCGCAGGUCGCGGGUUCAAAUCCCGUGGUUGGC
rnacentral:tRNA from 1 species